rnacentral:rRNA from 1 species
CCUACGGGAGGCAGCAGUGGGGAAUAUUGGGCAAUGGGCGAAAGCCUGACCCAGCAACGCCGCGUGAACGAAGAAGGCUUUCGGGAUGUAAACCUCUAUUCGCAGGGACGAAAAAGACGACGGUACCUGAGGAAUAAGCCACGGCUAACGACGCGCCAGCAGCCGCGGUAAGACGUAGGUGGCAAGCGUUAUACGGAUUUAUGGGGUGGAAAGGGCGGGUAGGCGGGGGCGCAAGGCAGAGGUGAAAGCCCAGGGCUCAACCCUGAGACUGCAUUUGAAACUGUGUUUCUUGAGUGUUGGAGAGGCAAUCGGAAUUCCGUGUGUAGCGGUGAAAUGCGUAGAUAUAAGGAGGAACACCAGUGGCGAAGGCGGAUUGCUGGACAGUAACUGACGCUGAGGCGCGAAAGCGUGGGGAGCAAACAGGAUUAGAUACCCGAGUAGUC